AAUCCCCAGAUUCCCUAUCCCUCAGAUCUAAACAUUGGUCUGAGUGAGUAAAACAGGAGAAAAAGUAAAACUGAAGUUGAUACUGAAACUGGCUGUAAUGACAUACAAGUUCAUUUCAAACAUAA
rnacentral:snoRNA from 1 species